AUGGUCAUCUCCUCCUCAGACCUGCAAGUCACACAGCCUUCUGGGACAUAUGACAGUUUGUCGGAGCUGCAGAACAUAAAAUUACAAGUGUAUUUCCAAACAACAGAGACCAUAACGUACACUAGCAGCCCUAAGUAUAAG